AGAAGGAAAGCUGGGACGGGCCGGGACCACAGGAGCCCCAGCCCCACACAGCAACCACCCGGGCGAGAAAGAAAGAAAGAGCCAGGGAGGCGGGCGAAGCGCGGGGAGAGAAGCAGAGAAGAAAUAUUCACCUUCCCGCCUCAUGCCCACUUUGAGGCACUUCUUGAGGCGGCAGUAUUGGCACUGGUUGCGGUGGUGCUGGUCGAUGGGACAGUUCCUGUUGGCACGGCAUGUGUAAGUUAAGUUCCUGCGGACGCUCCUCUUGAAGAAACUUUUGCAGCCCUCGCAGCAGGUAGAUGAAACUCAAGAGAAAAGGUGUGGAUAAAUGAAACUAGCCCAUGAUGAACCUGUUUUCUCCGUGACCACAAUAUUAACCAGGAUGAAUGGCGGUGGCAGUGGGCCUGCAUCACAGGUUGCAGCAGAUGUUCUCAAUAUUUCUAUUAAAAUUUCCUUAUUUCCAUAUGCAAGAGGAGCCCCAGAGCUGCAUCCUUAUGGUAGCUACCAUGCCGUGAUGUAAGCUGCCAUUCACUGGGGAGCUUUGGCAAUAGAAUUGGCUAGAUCAGGAAGCCUAUGUCAACUAUGGAACAACAACUUGCAGCUCAUCUCUAUUGAUGAUGGAAUCUCGCUAUGUCACCAGGCUGGAGUGCAGUGGCGCAACCUCGGCUCAGCGCAACAUCCGCCUCCCGGGUUCAAGUGAUUCUCCUACCUCAGCCUCCUGAGUAGCUGGGAUUACAGGAAUCUAAUGACCAUUGAACUGUGGCCAUGACUUCAAUUACAAGUAUUUUCUUCACUAAUGUCAGACUGUGGGCCUUUGUAUAUACACUUUUAACAAACUUUUUGGAAGUGCAAUACAUAUCGCAACAACUUCUCAAUGCUGAAUCAUAGUAUUGGAAGACAUUUUAAGCAACAAUUAAACUCAACUUAUUUACUACCAAUAAUGUACAUAAGUCAGCUGAAGUGAGGAUAACAUGAAUAGCACAAAUACAUUAUGAUUGCUGCCUGGCCAACAGUAAUUAUAAGAAACUGUCAGUUUUGAGAUGUGUCUUGAUUUCAGAGAUGUUAAAAAAGUUUGUAAGUUACCAUUGAUAAAAUAUGAGUUUGCUUCCACAAAUAUUCUUUCUUCUGUCCUUCUGGAACUCAAGAGUAAACAUAUAUUAGAUUUUCUCACCAUUUCAUGCAUGCUGGUUCCUAGGCUACUCUCUGAGUCAUUUUUUUUUUCUUAUCUGCCCUCCAGUUCACUAGUUCUGUCAUUUUCUGGGUCUGAUCUGCUGCAAAUGCAAUACAUUGAGUUUUAAAUUUCAGUCAUUGUGUUUUCAUUUCUAGAAAUUUCAUUUGACUCUUUCUCAAAUUACUUUUCCAUUUUUUUUGUAGUUUCCUAUCCCUGGAGAUAUUUUCAAUCAUGCCAUUUAAUUUUUUAAAUACGCAAGUGUAGUUUUAUAAUUUGUGUCUGAUAAUUCUAAUAUCUGAAGUCUUAGUAGGUCUGUUUCAGUUGUCCUGUAAUUAUGCAUGUUUUUGCCCAUGUUGCUUUGUUUCCUUGUAUGCUUGGUUAUCUUUCUUACUGCCCUUGCAAAAUUAUUUGGAGAGUCCUGGAGGCUUAAAUGAAGAUAACUUUUAGGAAUAAUUUGCAUUUGCUUUUGCCGAGGAUCUUGGGAUCAUUUCAACCAAAAUCUUAGCUUGAAAUUCCGCAAUCAAUCAAGGUGAUGAGAACCUGGUCAGUAAAUCCUAAUGAGGGCCAGGCUGUGGCCAAAGAUUUUUAGACAGAUGUUUCCCUCCUUUGCCAUUUCUCUUUUCUUUCCUCCUCUGCUCCUCUUAGUGUCCAGACAACCUUCAUGGAAGUCCUUGGGGUGGGUGGGAAAUGAGGACGGCAGGUUUCAUUCUAGGUAUAGCCCUUUGAGGUCUAACUUAAUGCAGAGAGAGUUUUCUGGUCUAUGUGCCACCUUACAUGGGAUCUUGAGCCUUGAUUUCUAAACCCCUUGCCUUUGAUGUUUCAGAAUUGAAGCUUAAAUUUGCCAACAGGCAAAUGUCCUCAAGGCAAAUUGGCUUAGGUGUUCGAUAUUCUUCUUACCAGAAAGGUAAACUUGGGUUUUUUACUUCACCCAGGAUUUGGCAUGACAGUUCCCCAUUAUCUUGUCAGCUUAGUGCUUUAAGUGAUUGCAUUUAAAAAAAUUCUGCAUUUUCAGUUUUUAGCAGGAGGAAUGGCCUCAACUAGUGGUUUUCAACUGGGGAUGAUUUUUUUCCCCUAGGGGACAUUUGAUAAUGUUUGGAGAUGUUUUAGUUGUUAGAACUGGGGUUGGGGGAACUACUGUCAUCUGGUGGGGAGAGACCGGCAAUGCUGUUGAUCUUACUAUAAUGCACAGGCCACCCCCAACAACAAACAAAUUACAUAGCCCCAAAUAUCAAUAAUGCCAAGGUCCAAAUAACCUAACCUUCCAUUACUGAAAAUAGAAGUUCAAGAAGAUAGUUUAUAAUUUAAAAAUUUUUAGGUCUUAAUAAGUUGUCAUACUUUCACAGGUUUUAUUUCAUACUAAGUAAUUUAUUUCAAAUUUUACAUUCCAAUUACAGAAAAUUUUCUAAGCCAGUUUUUGUUCUUCAUGAGUAUUACUAUCAAGGUCACAUUUUUCAUCUAGUAUGUUUUACCCUGGUACUUGUUGGCAGGGUCAGGACUAAGGUGAGAUGCGCAAGGCAUUUGCCUCACACAAAAUGCACAAUGAAUAAAAUGUCAAAACUUUAAAUAAAGACAGAAUCACUAAAAGUACUUUGCCAUAUUGGAACCUGAG
rnacentral:lncRNA from 1 species